rnacentral:lncRNA from 1 species
GGCAGUCCAGCCGCAGGGGCCACCCGAACAGUCUCUCCUCCUCACAGAAGCCUGGAGCUGGGCAUCCAAGAAGAAGCAGCCUCAUUUGUUUUCUGGUGUCAUCGUAGGUGGCCACCUAUGGCUUUUGGGAAUGUAAAAAGGGCAGCUCUCUGGCAUGUUCCUGACUGAGGAUCUCAUAACAUUUAACUUGAGGAACUUCCUCCUUUUCCAGCUUUGGGAGUCAAGCUUCUCACCUGGGGCGGGUGGGUUCUGCACCACCCUCCCACCCUCCUUCCUCCGUGUGGACGAUAGAGCCACAUCCAGCACCACGGACAGCUCCCGGGCGCACUGGAAGCUGAGGGUUUUGACAGCGGCAGGCCACAUAGGCAAGGAAGCUGGUGCAUGCAGUGUCUCUGGGCAAGGUUAUGCAAACCAAAAAGAAGAAUGUACUUCAUCUGGUUGGGCUGGAUUCCCUCUGAUAAGCCUUCCCAGUUGACUGAAAGAUGAGGCUAGGCUCUAGCAAGUUGAAGUCAAACCAGCUCCUUCAAGAAGCUUUGAGCAGAAUGAAGUGGGGAGGACCCAGCUUCCAGCCCAGGAAGCCCACUGUACCUGGAGCCAUCUGGGAUAAGACUUUGACCCAUGACUCCCAUAUCCACAGCCUGUCCAUCCUAGCCCAUCCCAGUUUAUCCUGUAUCAUUUGAGCUGGGAUUCCCACAUCCUCUGAGUUGGAAGUCCCAUCUCAAGUCUUCAAUAAAGACUCUUGAAUAUUGAAUCACA